GGUAAUGUGAGAAAUUAACAAGUUCAUUUGGACCUGCUCCUGAAAUGCGCCUGAGGGGCUGAUUAAUGUCGCCUUUAACAGGGAAACUAAAAGCACAACUUAAGAAUGAGAAAAACGACCAACUAACGAGUAAUUUGGUUUAAAAAAAAAAAAAAUCAUUAGUAUAUAUUUAUAGGCUGACAGCUUAUGUUAAUAAUACAUUUUUGGACAUCUUGGAUUUAUAUUUGUCAGCAUUUUUUUUUUUUUCUCAAUUUAAACCUGAUGCCAAGAAUCACAUUACUGUGUGGCUUUUGUCCAAGAGCUGAAAACAUAACUUUGUUAUUCUCUACCUUUGGAAGAUUAUUGGCAAACAAAAGUGCGCUCAUCAGGUUAUACAACUAAAAGACAAACUCAGGAGCCAAAAACUGCAGUCAUAUAAAUCUUCAGCACCUGAGCAGCUUGAGGAUGAGAUGAUUAAAAAAAAAAAUGAACCUACCAUGGAGAAGUGUUACCCUUCUUCUUCACAGAAAAGUUGAGUGGUUGAGAUGAAUUCCAGCAUUUUCUGGAAAAGCAUACAGAGAGCACAAAAGAAAAGAAAAAGGAUCAGGCUUAAAAAGAAUGCUUCAGAGGACAAAGCCGGCUGUUAAAAAGUCAAAUCGUGUCUCAAGAUGCCCUCAGAAAGACCUCUGUAAAGAAGUAAAUCAGCCAUCUAUCACAACAAAUAGUCCUCUGACGAUGGAUGAAACACUUCCUCGAGCGCGCAGCCUGACCACAGCACAUGUCCCGCCAAUAUUGUUGGAUAAAUCGACUGUUCCCCGAGGACAAAUGCUGCCAGUGUGCCAGGAUCAAUUUCUCUCUGCCUCAUUUCAAUUUGUGGAAAAUAACUGGAUAAAUUCAGCCACCGCAUUUAUGAAUGCAACUUCAUGUGCUUUCACAUCAGCAGAUAUCAGCCACACUUUUUUACCCAGCUCAUCUUCAAGCCAUAUGUUAUGGGAUGCUGCUUCUCACCAGGUGGAUCCUGUUACUUUCCUAUCAGGUCAUUGUGGCCAAGCCUAUACCCCACCUGAAAAAACUGAAGUGUGUUACACUGACUUACCUCAGGUUAGCCAACCUGACAUUGUAUCAGUAGAUUUUACAAGCCAACUAGUUAUCCCACCAUGUAAACUUCAAAGGGAACCUUCAAGCUCUGAUGACGUCACUCUUGCAGUUUCAGAAGCUUUGUGCGAUUCAAGACUUUUCCCAGACAGUGCCAACUGCAGUAGCCUUUUAACAGACAGUCAGUGUGAUGUGGUUAGUCCAUUUUGGCUCGAUUUGCUUUUGGAUAGCAGUAGUAACUUGUGCUUCCCUGAUCCUAAUCUUGUAGAUUUUGUCCUUUCCCCUGAAACGGGUCCUGAUUAAGUACAAAGUUACUGCAACUUUGCAGUUUGAAAUGACCAGUUAGUAGAGAGACGGCUGUAUUUUUUUUUCUUUCCUUUUUAUUUUAAUUUGUGUAUAAAAGAUGUUUAGACCGCAUAUACAGAAA